GGUGGGACUCCAGAACCUGAGCAUGGCUGCUUUGCUGUGCAGGCAAGGAACGGCUUGGGCUGCUCCACUCCCCUGCUUUGCUUUGGGAUCACUGUGAUUUUGGGGGACAGUGCAGGGGGGAAGGGAGAAAGCAUGGGCUUCCCUCACCCAUGGGUGGGUUUUUCCCUAGAAUGGAGGGGUUGUGCCUUCCUCAAACUCCUGACAGACAUAAGAUUUUUUACCUUUUUUCUUCUUUCCCCUUUUUGUCUGUAACCUAUUUUCAUUAAUUUGUUGUUUGUUUUUCUAAAGGAAGCAUUCUAGGUGGGGUCCAGUCUGGAUGAGAAUGUGCUUGGGACUAGCUGUGGCAUGGAUGGGCCGUGCCCUUGGAGAAGACUGAGGACAUCGUCUGGGACCAGCUUUUCAUCUGGCAGCGGAUGGUGUGAGCGGGGCUCUGCGGAUGCUGAGGCUGCUCUGGGCUCUGCCAGGGCUCUGCUGGGCUCAGCACCGGGCCGGGAUCAGCCAAAGAAGAAACGCUGUGACCUGCAGCAGAGACUAGAGCAUUUUGGCAAUGCAGCUCAAGUCUGCAGAGUGUCCACCUCCAAGGGAAAACAUGACACCUCCCAAAAAUUAAACUUGUUCAAUACCUUCUGAAAUGAAAUCCAUCUGGGAUGACCCCAAAUGACAUUUUUCAUCUUGCUCAAGCUGUAGCUCAGCCCUUCUCUGAACAGUUCUCUCCCACACCUGCCUUUUACUUCACAACUGCUCCUUCCUUUCCCCCAGUGAGUUCCCAGCCCAUCACAGUCUCCAUCACACUGCAGCCUUCCUUGAUGCCCCUCUCCAUGAGGAAGUCCAAGCCCCAGUCUCAGGACUCAUCCUGUCACUGGCUGAAGAGCAGCAAUGUCUGUCUGUGCCAGGAGCUCUUAGAUGUCACUGUAUCCAUGGACAGAAGGUCUGUCCUUGCAAAGGUUUCCAUAAUAUCUUUGUACCCAUGAGUAUGGAAUGAACACAGAGGGUGAAAGUGUCA